UGUAGGGACCUUUCCACGGUUUCUGUGUCGUAGCUAACGCAUUAAGCGCCCCGCCUGGGGAGUACGGCCGCAAGGCUAAAACUCAAAGGAAUUGACGGGGGCCCGCACAAGCGGCGGAGCAUGCGGAUUAAUUCGAUGCAACGCGAAGAACCUUACCAAGGCUUGACAUACACCGGAAACGGCCAGAGAUGGUCGCCCCCUUGUGGUCGGUGUACAGGUGGUGCAUGGUUGUCGUCAGCUCGUGUCGUGAGAUGUUGGGUUAAGUCCCGCAACGAGCGCAACCCUCGUUCUAUGUUGCCAGCGGGUUAUGCCGGGGACUCAUAGGAGACUGCCGGGGUCAACUCGGAGGAAGGUGGGGAUGACGUCAAACCAUCAUGCCCCUUAUGUCUUGGGCUUCACGCAUGCUACAAUGGCCGGUACAAAGGGCUGCGAUACCGUAAGGUGGAGCGAAUCCCAAAAAGCCGGUCUCAGUUCGGAUUGAGGUCUGCAACUCGACCUCAUGAAGUCGGAGUCGCUAGUAAUCGCAGAUCAGCAACGCUGCGGUGAAUACGUUCCCGGGCCUUGUACACACCGCCCGUCAAGUCAUGAAAGUCGGUAACAC
rnacentral:rRNA from 1 species